rnacentral:tRNA from 1 species
AGAGAUUUAGUUAAAAUAUAACAUUAAUAUGUCAUAUUAAAAUAAUUGAAAUUCAAUAAUCCCUA